AGCUGAUUCAAUCUAUAAUGAUAACAGAGAAGUCUGCUGCACAUUAAAUACUACUGAAGUUGCUAAGACGAGAUAUACUUAUGCCUAUAAGAACAAUGUGAUACUUGCCAUUUUUCUUAAAAUCUUACAUCUGAAGAAACUGAUGAGUCAACCACAGCCACAAGCACUUCUGUCUUUAUUCCUGAUGUUACAUCUUCAAGUACCGAUGACAUUCUGGAACAUGAGGAAAAACAACAUUCAAGCAAUAAGACUAUAAUCUCCAUUCUGCUGUCCACUGAAAUUGAGUUUCUUGAAGUCUAUGGAGGGAGGAGGGACUGAAUGUAUUUUUAACCCAACAGAAUAAAUGAAGUUCCAAGGAGCUUCUGCA
rnacentral:lncRNA from 1 species